ACGCUGCCGACGACUCCCAGGAUGCGCCGGAGCGCUCCCCUGUAACUGGCUGAGAGAGUGACGGGCACGCUGCACGGGAGAAGAGGAGGAGCGAGCUUGAGGGGCUUCCUCGCACGGCGCAACGUUUUACCGGUAUUGAAUAUGUGAAAGUUCUCUCUCCAGUCUGGUAUGUGAUCAGAGAUUUUGAUACUUCUGGAUGUGGGGUUUGGACGUGGCAUGGUUGAUGGUGAGAGAGAAGAGUUUUUGGUUCCCCAUUCCAAGCCUGUCUGCCAUGUUGCAGCCCUACCCCUCCUCUCUCCACGGAGGUUUGUGACAGUGUUGUUAGUCAACUUGUAGUGAUCAGGUUGAGAAAGGCCAUAUAACUCCCCCAAAGUGCAAAAGGAACAACAACAAACCAUUCACAGGUGUCACUGGGGGAGGAGGUGGUGCUAGCAUUCUCCUACUCUGCUAUCUUCCCUGGAAGUCAUGAGACCUGUGAAUAAGAAUCAUCCCAUUCAUAUGGCAGGAUUGUGUUCACCAGACUGAUCACGAAGGAAGCGCUUACCUCAGAACAUAACCUAUUCUAGGAACAAGUGUCCUUUUUGAAGUUUGUGCUGUGGACAUUUAAUUAAAAGGGAAGAUGUGGAACAAAAUGGUAUUCUGUGACCCGGAGUCUAUCAAAGAAGGCUACCUUCAAGAGUUCAAGAUUUGGCAGCAUAUUUUUGCUUUAGACUUUACCAUGACAUGUAAGAAUUUAUCUACAGGGCAGAUAUUUAAAAAUUAACUUAUAAAAUAAUUUGUUUGACUUCUAUCGAACUGAAAUCAAAAUGUAACAAGAUAGGUCAAGAUUGUAUACAUCUAAUAUAGCAGGAUAGAUGUUAAAUCAUUGACAAACUAUUCAAUUUAAUUGUUCACUGGCCAAUUUGAAGUUAGGUAAAAAGAACAGGUUUCUUGUUGGGUCGAACUGUGCUGAAUAUUUGAAUAUUUUUACUGAAUAUUUAAAGGUGAUAGAGAUGGAAGAGAUGGAAGAAUUCAACUCUUGAUUUGUCUUUGAUGUUGCUUGAGAGUAAAGGGGACAAAUGCAUUUGACACAGGUAGAAACAGGAGACAUAUGUAUCAGACCUAACCAAAGUAUUAAAAUUAAACUGAUUUAUUUUUUAAAAUGAGAAAGUUGGCAUUUGGGUAUUUCCCUAGUAUUACUCUAUAAAUUUGUCAAAACUUGGUUGCUGAAACUCCUCUCUGAAACUAAUGGAUAACACAUCAGUUAUCCUCAUUGAUGACUUGGUAUUCCCUACAACAAGCUACAUGUUCCCUCUCAUCUCUGGAUAUAUCUUGCUUACUGCCUACCAGAGCUGCUCUUUCCUUUCCUCUGCUAAGGUUAAUGAUUUCCAUUUUUCAAAAUACUGGUAAGAACUUAUUCAGUCCCUUUAUCCAAAAUAUAUAUGUAUAUUUAUUAAGCACGUACUUAGUACAGGUGGCAGGAAACAUACAGAUUCUGUCUUUUAGAAGCCUAAUUUGUUAGGAGGGACAGACAAGAGUAAAGAAAAUUAUAAGAAGUAGUAGGGAUAAGAGCUGUGAUACAAGAUGCUAUUAUGUGAUGGUACAUUAUUUUUAAAUUUUGACCCCCUUCAAUGAACUUCUGGAGUUUGUUAAAAGUUCAGGUUUAUUCAGUGAAAAACCAGAUCAUCUGAGGCAACACAUCACAGAUGCAUGUGCAGGACUGAUGGGAAUGAAUAAGUACACCACAUCCAUUGCAGCUUUACACAGCACAUUGAAAGCAUCAUAUACUGUAAUGUAAGGGUUAUAAGUCAUUUAUAAUGUCUUUUCCAGACAGUAAGGAUACAUUCUCUGUCUCAGAGGGGUUUUGUAAGGGUUAAAUGGGUUCAGGUGUUCAAAGUGCUUAUAUAUCAAGGCCAUGGUGAGCAUUAUGUAAGUGCUAGAUGUUAUUAUCAUUUACAUGGAAGGAUGGACUUGGUUUUUAUUCUUAAUUGUGGUUUUAAUAAUUCUUGUAUAAUCCUUUUUUUCUUUCUAUAUGAAGUCUUACAUUAAACGACCUCUCUAGGACUUGUUAAAAAAAAAAAAAAAAAAAAGAGCUGUGAUACAAGUCCAUAUGAAGUCUUAAGGAUAUACAGAGAAAGUGUGCUUUUCAUGAAGCUUUCAUAAUUUACUCUAUACAAAUGGUAAUAAUACUAAACAUAUAUUAUCAUCUGUGUAUAAAGGUACACUACAAAGUGCCAUAUGUGCAUUAUUUCAUUUAAAUCUCACAAUAACCUGGGGGUUAGAACUAUUUUUCAUCUCAUUUUUAUAGAUGAGGAGUCUAGGGCUCCAAGAAGUCAGAACAGUUUCUCCAAGUCACAUAGUAAUCAAGUGAGAUUAAGUAUGAGAUAAGCAGAAAAGGAUGCAGGUCUUUCACCCGCAAAGGCUGUCUUCCUAUUAUAGGGUAGAGCUUCCUCAAGGCAGUGUUUUUUAGUCCCGUAGCCCAUGAAGAAAUCGCUCUGCUCAGUGCGUGAUAUUUGAUAGUGGGAUUUCUGUACAUUUCUUUGUGUAUCUCUCUUCCAUUAUGUUCUGCUUCUUUUAUUCAAUAGUGAACUUCUUGAAGACACCACACAUUUAUUUUGGUUGACAGUGUGUCUUCCCAAUGCUUAUUUGUAAUAGAAGGCUAUCCAUAUAGAUUUUGGUCAGUUGAUUACUAAUUAAGCCUGGGGAGAGAAGGAUAAAAAAAUAGAAAAGAGAUCAAUUAUUGGUGAUCUGAUUAAGCAAAUGGGGAAAACAUGAAGAAAAGUUAUUAAAGUUAAAAAUUUUGAACAUCAAAAUGAUUCCCAUUCUGGUUUGGAUUUAGUUUUAUCCAGCCCCAAUUCUGUUUUUAACAAAGGCACAAAGGGCUGUGUUAUGAUGAGAAAGAAUAUUCUUGUUUUAUAUUAAUCUCAAAGAUUAGAAACAUUUACAAAAUCCCAACUUUAUGAGACUUGUACAUUAGGAUUUUGUGGUGGGCACAAUUCUAAGAUGACCCCUAAGAUUAUCAGUACCUUGGUAUAUAUACACUUUCUCCCAGUUAAUUUGUUAAUUAAACAACUCAUCUAGGUGCUGCUGGGAAGGGAUUUUGCAGAAGUAAUUAAAGUCCUAAAUCUUAAAAUGUUCUUGAGAUUGGGAGAUUGUAAUUAGUGGGUAUGACCACAUGAACCCUUAAAAAGACCUGGGCUCUUCUUGGAAAGAAAUUUUAAGUGUCAGAGGGAGAUUCUCUUUUGUUGGCUUUGAGGAUGGAGGGUACUAUGUGGCAGUGAUGGAUGGGUGGGCUCUAAGAGCUGAGAGUGGCUGCUAGACUAUAGCCAGCAAGAAGAUAGGGACCUCAGACCUCCUUACAAUUGUGAGGAAUUGUUUUUGUGAAGAACUAGAAUAAGUGUGGAAGCAGAUUCUUCUCUAGAGCCUGAUAAAAAUCACAGCCUGGCUAACAUCCUGAACAGCAAGUGCAGCCAAACUGCUCCUAGACUUCUGACCCAUAGAACUGGGAACAAUAAAUGGGUAUUGUUUUAAGCUGCCAAGUUUGUGGUAAUUUGUUACACAGCAAUAGGAAACUCACGUAGAUUAAAAAACAAAACAAAACAAAACAGAAAAAUCUCAGUCUGUGUUUCUUAUUGUGAUGAUUUUUUAAAGUAUACUCCACACCAUUCAAAAUAAUCUUGCCUAUUUUCUAUUUAAAACUUUGCUCUUAUUUUCAAUUCAUGUGAUCAAUACUGAUGACUUAGGGAUUUGGUAAAUGAAUUAUUCAUGGCACUAAUAUAUUUGUUAAAUCUUGGUAUUUCUAGGCCCAAGAAUCCUAAUCACUUUAGUCUGUUUGCAUGCAGAAGUGCAUCCAUCUCCUUGAUUAUUUUAGCUGGUCUUUUAAAAGUAUUUUUCCUGAAGACCAGUGAUUAGACUUGAAUAGGAAUGCAUGUGAUAGACAAAUCAGGAUUUUGUACAAAGGCAAAAUAGUCUUUCUGAAGUAAAGAAAGAAAUGGAGGCUUAGGAGGUUAUAUGUAGCAUUAAGUAGCAGACUACUUCUUACCAAAAGCACUUCUACUAUUACAUUUACUACAAAACAUGUAUGUUUUGCAUUUACUAUUGUGUUUUUGGUCAGAAAAGGUCUACAUAAGUAGUCUUUCUACAUUAGACUGUGGAGUUGAAUAUUUCAAAUCCAAAACUAUUAAUGGCAGAUUCUAAAAACCAGAAUGGAAACCUUGAUAAAUACCUUUGUACUCCAUCUGCAGGUCUUAAGAAAAAGGAGGUUUAAUCUGUGUCAGGAACCUACCAUUUGUUCACUUUGGAGAGCUGGAAAGAAAUUACGAUGGGGCUGGCACUGGAACCUGGAUGUUCUUGGCUCUUGUGGAUCCUUCUUUUCCACAGGGUUUCUUUCUUCAUUAUUUCUAUCAUGUGACUGUGGCUAGAAAUGCUUCCUGAUAAGGGGAUGCCUCUGGAGGAAUCCUGGAGCAGGAGGUAGGGUACUUCAGUUUGAAAAACUCCAGGUCUUUAGAGGAGUAAAAUAGGUAAAUGAAGCCCACAAGCUCAUUUAUGCUCGAUCUCCAUUCACUAGGGUCAAAGCACAAUGUUUGGCACAUAAAAGGCAUUCACUAAGAGUUCUGUGAGUGCACAGAUCAGAGGCUCUCAAGACACCUUCCCCCAAGGUUUGAUGAUUUGCUAAGAGGAGUCACAGGACUCAGUCUAUAGUUUCACUCAUUGCUGUUAUUUUUUUACAGUGGAAUAAUAUAAUGUAAAAUUAGCAAAGGGUAAAGGUGCAUGGGGAAAUAUGUGGGAAAAAAACAGGUGCAAGAUUCCAGAGUCCUCUCCUAGUGGUCACACAGGAUGUGCUUAAUUGCCCCAGAAAUGAGUUGUGACAAUACGUAUGAAAUGGGAAGUUCAUUAGAAACUCAUUUCCAGGCUUUUUACUGGGAAGUGGUCACUUAAACAGCCUUUGCUUAGCAUUCCAGACUGCUAGAAGGAAGGCAGGUGUUUAGCAUAAGCCAUAUUAUUUGCACAAUCAGGCACGGUGAGUCACUCUUAUUAGUUAGUGUGGUGAAAUCUCUCCCCAAAUCUAAGCUCUCAGCUGCCAGUUGAGUCAACUUCGCAAGCAGCCCUCUAGAAGUAUAACAGUCUCAGGCCUACUAUGUUAGCUCUUUUCUGCAUAGUGUCAAAAUAGAGAUUUGGAACCAAAGACCUACCCAGUAUAUACUUGGUCAAUACCCUUAGGAAUGGAACAGGUUGAUUCGUAGCCAGAAAAGCAUUUGAAUAUUUUUAUGUUUUAGCCACCACAGCCUGUCCAAUAAAUCUAUCUUAAAGGAAAAUGUGAACUAUGGGAAAUUAAAGUAAGAUUUAUGCAUGAUAUAGUGUCCCUUAAAGCUCUGAAUGAGCCCAUUAAGCUAUUUUUAUGCAGUGCCUACUAUGUGUUAAGCAUAUUCCUGUUAUAGAAUUAUGUGAGCAAGAGAAAAAAAGUCUCUGCUCUCUGGACCUGAUACUACAGUGAGGGGAGACAGACAAAUACAAACAAAUAAAUAAGUGAUAAGUACUAAGUAAAUUAAGGGUAAGGAUGGGGAACUGUAGGAUGAU